rnacentral:rRNA from 1 species
CGAAUGGCUCAUUAAAUCAGUUAUGGUUCCUUAGAUCGUACACACAUUUACUUGGAUAACUGUGGUAAUUCUAGAGCUAAUACAUGCAAACCAGAGUUCCGACCAGAGAUGGAAGGAACGCUUUUAUUAGAUCAAAACCAAUCGGUGGCGGGUUAACGCCCGUCCAUCGUUUACUUUGGUGACUCUGAAUAACUUUGUGCUGAUCGCAUGGUCUUGUACCGGCGACGAAUCUUUCAAAUGUCUGCCUUAUCAACUGUCGAUGGUAGGUUCUGCGCCUACCAUGGUUGUAACGGGUAACGGGGAAUCAGGGUUCGAUUCCGGAGAGGGAGCCUGAGAAACGGCUACCACAUCCAAGGAAGGCAGCAGGCGCGCAAAUUACCCACUCCCGGCACGGGGAGGUAGUGACGAAAAAUAACGAUACGGGACUCAUCCGAGGCCCCGUAAUCGGAAUGAGUACACUUUAAAUCCUUUAACGAGGAUCCAUUGGAGGGCAAGUCUGGUGCCAGCAGCCGCGGUAAUUCCAGCUCCAAUAGCGUAUAUUAAAGUUGUUGCGGUUAAAAAGCUCGUAGUUGAAUCUGUGUGCCACGCUGUCGGUUCACCGCUCGCGGUGUUUAACUGGCAUGAUUGUGGGACGUCCUACCGGUGGAUUUAGCUGUGUGUAAAUAUGGCGAUCCAACUAAUAUCCCAUCGCGGUGCUCUUCAUUGAGUGCCGAGGUGGGCCGGUACGUUUACUUUGAACAAAUUAGAGUGCUUAAAGCAGGCUUAUUUUGCCUGAAUAUUGUGUGCAUGGAAUAAUGGAAUAGGACCUCGGUUCUAUUUUGUUGGUUUUCGGAACCCCGAGGUAAUGAUUAAUAGGGACAGAUGGGGGCAUUCGUAUUGCGACGUUAGAGGUGAAAUUCUUGGAUCGUCGCAAGACGAACAGAAGCGAAAGCAUUUGCCAAAAAUGUUUUCAUUAAUCAAGAACGAAAGUUAGAGGUUCGAAGGCGAUCAGAUACCGCCCUAGUUCUAACCAUAAACGAUGCCAGCUAGCGAUCCGCCGAAGUUCCUCCGAUGACUCGGCGGGCAGCUUCCGGGAAACCAAAGCUUUUGGGUUCCGGGGGAAGUAUGGUUGCAAAGCUGAAACUUAAAGGAAUUGACGGAAGGGCACCACCAGGAGUGGAGCCUGCGGCUUAAUUUGACUCAACACGGGAAACCUCACCAGGCCCGGACACUGGAAGGAUUGACAGAUUGAUAGCUCUUUCUUGAUUCGGUGGGU